CUUGUUUUUAAGUCCAUUAAUAUGAUGAAUUACAUUUAUUCAUUUCCGUAUGUUGAACCAACCCUGCAUCCCUGGGAUGACUCCACUUGAUUGUGGUGCACUACCUUUUAAUGUUUUUGUAUGCGAUUUGCCAGAAUUUUAUUGAGAAUUUUUGCAUCUAUGUUCAUCAGGGAUAUUGGUCUGAAGUUUUUUUCUUUCCUUGAUGGGUCUUUGCCUGCUUUUACUAUCAGGGUGAUAUCAGCCUCAUAGAAUGAGUUUGGAAGGGUUCCCUCCUUUUCUAUUUCACGGGGGUAUUUUCCUUUGAUUACAGAAAUGCUGAAUGCUCAUUGCAAAAGAAAUCCAGUUGUUAGAGAAAUAGGCCAUAAGGAAAUAAGGUGGUGUGGAGCUCUACCUAUGGAGACGCACACCGAUGUUUCUGCAGAAUUUUUCUUAUGUCCAAACCAGUCUCUGUGUCUCUUCUGUUUUGUUUUAUAUGAGUCCUGGGGGUUGAACCCAGGGGUGCUAUACCACUGAUCUAAAUCCCCAGCCCUUUUUUAUUUUUUUGUUUUGAGGCAGGGUCUCUAAGCUGCUGAGGCUGACCUCAAACUUGUGAUCCUCCUGUCUCAGCCUCCUGAGUUGCUGGGAUGACAGGCAUGGGCCACUGCGCCUAGCUGAUUUCUCAUUUUUUAACAGAAGGAUCAUACUCAUUGGAGACUUGCCUUUUUUUGCUUCAUGUGUAAGUGGCCAUCUUCCUACAUUGGCCCUAAGAAACCUCAUUCUGUUGAAGAACCGGAUGAUAGCAUCCCACGGCGGGGUACCCUGAUUUAUCCACACAGUUCCUUUUACAUGGCCGAUUCUUGAUUUUAGCCAUGAGGUGACGAUCCGGUGGUUUUGGUUUGGCUUCUGGCUUGGGGUUUGGAUACUGGGGGUGCAGCCAGCGCCCUGUGCGUGCCAGGCUGAGCUCUGCUGCCCAGCUCCGCCUGAGUGCCUGCAGAUUCUGCUCCAUGCAGCUUUGUGCUCGCGAGUGAAUGGCUCCGUGGGGAGGGACCUCCAGGUCAGAGGGUAGGUGUGUGUUUCCAGGUCCCCCAGGAUUGACGUGGAAAUGACCAUCAUGAAGGAAGAAGUCCAGCCUCACAGGCCCGGCAGGAAGCAGGGCGUGCUGUGCAGCCCACGUGAGGAGGCGCAGGCUGGCCAGGGAACAGAGGAGCAGGAGGAAGGUGGGGGCAAGACCAUCCCUGAGGCCUCCACAGGACGGAAUGGGUGAGGCUGGGUCUGCAGGUUCAGGAUGG
rnacentral:lncRNA from 1 species